ensembl:lncRNA
GGGGGGUCUUGUCAGAGCAGGACGGCUGUGUUACACAACUGAUUGGAAUGGGAGGGAGAGACAGACAGAGAGGGCGGGCGGGGGAGGAAGAGGAUUCAGGCUACUUCAACAGAGGAAGACAUUAGCAUGCAGCUGUAGUGGUGGACUUGCUUGAUAGAGUGAUCGAGCUUAAAUAGCCCUAAAGAUGGAAAUUAAUGAACACAAUUUUUUAAUUUCCCAUAUAAUUCUACUUUGACUAAAACGAUGGAAUAACAGAUCAGCAUCUGGGAGACUCCAGUCGGGCCUCCAUCAACCCCACCACCUCCUCCUCCACCUCCUCCUCCUCCGCAGCAGCAGCGGACCAACCGAGUGCCGCGACUCCUCCUCCUCUUCCUCCUCCCGCCGAGGAAGAGGAGUCCUGCACCUCCCCCGGGGAGGGGAGCCUCGCCCCGGAGGAGCCCUGCGAAGGAGACGCCACGGUCAAGGACGACUGCAGGCUGAGGGAUGACUCUGAAGUGCCCCACAGUGACAGUCUUGAGGUGAUCUAUGAUGACGUCCCCACUGAAUACCUCCCACUAUCUCCUGAUGAAGAGGAUGUGAUCUAUGAAGACGUUCAGAGAGGUGGUCCAGUCAGUGCUGAUAACGGCUGGAGCUCCAGUGAGUUUGAGGACUACGACGACCAGUCUGACAAUGAAGCCAAAGUCCCCACACGCACCAAGCUGUCCCCUGAGGUGCGUGGGCUGAGAGAGCGCUGUGCCAGGACCAAACGUGAGCUAGCGUCGCGUCUCGGCGCCAACUAUGACACCAAGGUAUCGUCCGCCCGCCGGGACCCACCUCACCCCACUGCAGAGCUUCAUUAGAUAUUUAUUCAUCUUCUUACGCUCCAUGUAAAACGUCCCAGGACGAGUGAAGAGCACACUCUGUGACGGGGCAAAGGAGCUCUCUGAACCCUCUGAGGGAACCGUCUGAGUGUGCACAGAACACGAUGUGUGCCGCUGGGUAAAGAUGUACUGCAUGUACUGCAUGGUUUGACCGACCUCCACUCCGACUGUGGCUGACCGCUCCCUGCAGCCCUCUCACCUGCUCUGGGUGCUCUAGUAAUGAUCCAGAUGACUCUGUUCUCUCUCUGUUUCUGUGUCUAUCUCUGUGUCUCUCUCUCUCACUCUGUCUCUUCUCUGUCUGUCUCUCUCU